CAUAUGAAAUAAAGAAAAAAAAAAUCAGAAGUAUCAGUUGAGAAGAAAGUAUGCUGAAAAUCAACAAUGAGAUUAACCCUCAAUGAUCUCAAAAGCCACCAACUUUCACAGAUCACUGUAACCACUAACGAAUAACAUGGAAACAUGAAAAAAAAAAAGGUCAAAUAUAUGAACAAAAAAAUAUUAACCAAUAAAGAGACAGAUUUCUCAGUCAUAAACAUAGUCCUGUAAUUUUGCAUCACCAUUAAUACAUGAAGAUUGGAAUUGGAAUCACCUACUAUCUAGGUGAUCACAUUAAACCUUUGAUUAGUCAUUAAACACUCAUUUUUUAACUUUCCCAAAACAUUAUCAAAAGCAGAUAAUUGCCAUCCCAUUUUAUACAGGAACCCAAAAAUACCAUAUGAACCAGCAAGGCCGUUGUCAAAAUUUUAAAACCUAACCUGUUUGAUGAAAUAACCAACAGCAUUGUUAUCAGCAUAUGUCAAAAAAUGUGUUAGCCCAUCAACAUCGAGUGCAUGCUGCUUCAAAUGAUUCAUCAAUCUUGUACCAUAACCUUUUACUUGUUCAUCUGCUGUGAUUGCACAAAAAGCUAUGUCCCCAAACUUUUGGCUGUGGUUCCCAGGGAAAAUAGUGUCAGCUAUGAGAGCAAAUGAGUUUCAAUAUACAAAUGAAAACAUAACAAAAAUGUAUCACUCACUUUCAAGUAUUGGAUAGUUACGAAUAAUCUGAACCAGGUGGAAUCAUUUAACCUUAACACCCUCAUUAGGGCCAAACUAGACACCAGAUUAUUCUUGAUUACAUAGAUUGUUCACUCAUCAACUGAAGCUAUAUUUAUAGUACAAACAAAAUGAAAAGAUAAUAGAUGGCUCUUA
rnacentral:misc_RNA from 1 species